rnacentral:rRNA from 1 species
CCUACGGGUGGCUGCAGUUGGGAAUCUUGCACAAUGGGGGAAACCCUGAUGCAGCGACGCCGCGUGGGGGACGAAGGGUCUAGGCUCGUAAACCCCUUUUCUCGGGAAAGACUUAGGACGGUACCCGAGGAAUAAGGACCGGCUAACUACGUGCCAGCAGCCGCGGUAAGACGUAGGGUCCUAGCGUUGUCCGGAUUUACUGGGCGUAAAGGGCGCGUAGGCGGCCCGUUAAGUGUGGAGUGAAAUCCCUGGGCUCACCCCAGGAACCGCUCCGC